UACGUAGGGGGCAAGCGUUGUCCGGAGUUAUUGGGCGUAAAGAGCGUGUAGGCGGUUUGGUAGGUCCGUUGUGAAAACUCGAGGCUCAACCUCGAGACGCCGGCGGAAACCAUCAGGCUAGAGUCCGGAAGAGGAGAGUGGAAUUCCUGGUGUAGCGGUGAAAUGCGCAGAUAUCAGGAAGAACACCCGUGGCUAAGGCGGCUCUCUAGUACGGUACUGACGCUGAGACGCGAAAGCGUGGGGAGCGAACAGG
rnacentral:rRNA from 1 species